GAUGAACGCUGGCGGCGUGCCUAAUACAUGCAAGUCGAGCGAACAGACGAGGAGCUUGCUCCUCUGACGUUAGCGGCGGACGGGUGAGUAACACGUGGAUAACCUACCUAUAAGACUGGGAUAACUUCGGGAAACUGGAGCUAAUACCGGAUAAUAUAUUGAACCGCAUGGUUCAAUAGUGAAAGACGGUUUUGCUGUCACUUAUAGAUGGAUCCGCGCCGCAUUAGCUAGUUGGUAAGGUAACGGCUUACCAAGGCAACGAUGCGUAGCCGACCUGAGAGGGUGAUCGGCCACACUGGAACUGAGACACGGUCCAGACUCCUACGGGAGGCAGCAGUAGGGAAUCUUCCGCAAUGGGCGAAAGCCUGACGGAGCAACGCCGCGUGAGUGAUGAAGGUCUUCGGAUCGUAAAACUCUGUUAUUAGGGAAGAACAAAUGUGUAAGUAACUAUGCACGUCUUGACGGUACCUAAUCAGGAAGCCACGGCUAACUACGUG
rnacentral:rRNA from 1 species